rnacentral:rRNA from 1 species
UACGUAGGGUGCGAGCGUUGUCCGGAAUUAUUGGGCGUAAAGGAGCUUGUAGGCGGUUUGUCGCGUCUGCCGUGAAAAUUCGAAGGCUCAACCUCGAACUUGCGGUGGGUACGGGCAGACUAGAGUGUGGUAGGGGAGACUGGAAUUCCUGGUGUAGCGGUGAAAAUGCGCAGAUAUCAGGAGGAACACCGAUGGCGAAGGCAGGUCUCUGGGCCACUACUGACGCUGAGAAGCGAAAGCAUGGGGAGCGAAACAGG